UACGUAGGGGGCACGCGUUGUCCGGAUUUCUUGGGCGUAAAGAGCUCGUAGGUGGUUCGGUAAGUCGGAUGUGAAAUCUCCAGGCUCAACCUGGAGGGGUCAUUCGAUACUGCCGUGACUAGAGGUCGGUAGGGGAGUGUGGAAUUCCUGGUGGAGCGGUGAAAUGCGCAGAUAUCAGGAGGAACACCCGUAGCGAAGGCGGCACUCUGGGCCGAUACUGACACUGAGGAGCGAAAGCGUGGGGAGCGAACAGG
rnacentral:rRNA from 1 species